UACGUAGGGGGCAAGCGUUGUCCGGAUUUACUGGGCGUAAAGAGCGUGUAGGCGGCCACGCAGGUCCGUUGUGAAAACUCGAGGCUCAACUUCGAGCUGUCGGUGGAAACUUUCUGGCUAGAGUCCGGAAGAGGAGAAUGGAAUUCCUGGUGUAGCGGUGAAAUGCGCAGAUAUCAGGAAGAACACCUAUGGCGAAGGCAGCUCUCUGGGACGGUACUGACGCUGAGACGCGAAAGCGUGGGGAGCGAACAGG
rnacentral:rRNA from 1 species